AUGAGUGAACACAUCUGCCCGAUCAUGUCUUGGAUCGUACGGGGGCGGAAUUCGCCGGCUAGACGUGCUGCCGUCACUGAAGUUGCUGUUUCCCACCAUUUAGGAAUCCUCUGCUUGCAGGAGAUGAAAAUCUCAACCUGGACUGCAGAAUUGGCCAGAGAGAUCGUAGGUGCAAAGCUUAGUGAUUGUGUGGUUUUGCCAAUGAUCGAAACCAGGGGGUGA
rnacentral:rRNA from 1 species